rnacentral:rRNA from 1 species
GAGUUUGAUUAUGGCUCAGGAUGAACGCUAGCGGCAGGCUUAAUACAUGCAAGUCGAGGGGCAGCAGCUUUAUAGCAAUAUAGAGGCUGGCGACCGGCAAACGGGUGCGGAACACGUACACAACCUUCCUUGAAUAGGGGGAUAGCCCAUAGAAAUGUGGACUAAUACCCCGUAAUAUAGCGGUGUGGCAUCACACUGUUAUUAUAGUUUCGGCGAUUCGAGAUGGGUGUGCGGCUGAUUAGGUAGUUGGCGGGGUAAAGGCCCACCAAGCCUUCGAUCAGUAGCUGAUGUGAGAGCAUGAUCAGCCACACGGGCACUGAGACACGGGCCCGACUCCUACGGGAGGCAGCAGUAAGGAAUAUUGGUCAAUGGACGCAAGUCUGAACCAGCCAUGCCGCGUGAAGGAUGAAGGUCCUCUGGAUUGUAAACUUCUUUUAUAGGGGGCGAAAAAAGGUCUUUCUAGAUCACUUGACAGUACCCUAUGAAUAAGCACCGGCUAACUCCGUGCCAGCAGCCGCGGUAAUACGGAGGGUGCAAGCGUUAUCCGGAUUCACUGGGUUUAAAGGGUGCGUAGGCGGGUAGGUAAGUCAGAGGUGAAAUCCUGGAGCUUAACUCCAGAACUGCCUUUGAUACUAUCUAUCUUGAAUAUGGUGGAGGUAAGCGGAAUAUGUCAUGUAGCGGUGAAAUGCAUAGAUAUGACAUAGAACACCUAUUGCGAAGGCAGCUUACUACGCCUAUAUUGACGCUGAGGCACGAAAGCGUGGGGGAUCAAACAGGAUUAGAUACCCUGGUAGUCCACGCCCUAAACGAUGGUUACUCGACGUAUGCGAUACACAGUAUGCGUCUG